rnacentral:lncRNA from 1 species
CCUUGUAGGUGGUCGCUGACCUGGCAGGUUAUCAUCCACUUCCCAGGAUUCUCGGCUAUCAUUUCUGUUGUAAGGAAGGUGGCUGGGAACAGGUUGACGACAUCAGUCCGAUGCCCUCUGCUGAUGAAGGUGUUACCAUAGAAAUAGAUAGAAUGGAUGUCUAUUUCAUUCCCCAUUCCAAAUAGGUGCCAGGACACAGAUUCUCCAACACACAUAUCAGGCUCCGGGAAGUUUCCGAAGAGGUAUCCAUUGAGGGCUGGAAACAGAAACACGCUAGUGGAAGAGACUCCCCUGCAGAGGCGACUGGGACCAGAAAUGUUGAGAAAACACUCAAUAAAAGUGAAGAUCAGCAUACACUGAGAACAGCCUCGGAGCUGCUGUGGGAACGCAAUAUGAGGUCAGGAGAAAACAGAGUGCUGCUCAUAUUUACAGGAGGCUCAGUCACCUUCUGUCAUAAUCCUUCACUGGCAUAUCUGCUGUCUUCACCAGAUUCUGUGCUCCUUGGAACUAGAAACCCUGUCUUGUUCAUCUUAACAGUUAUCAGGACCUAGCAGAAAAACUGGCACAUAGUAUCUACUUAAUGAAGUGACAAAAGCAUGUAGUAAGAUGGAAAGAAAAGGAAUUGAUUAAAAGGAAUUUAUGAG